UUGCUUCAACAGCACAUACACUAAAACCAAAAGAACACAGAGAAGAUAGCCAAGGGCCCUGCACAAGGGUGACACACAAGCUGGUGAAGCAGUCCACAUUUUU
ensembl:snRNA U6 U6 spliceosomal RNA